rnacentral:misc_RNA from 1 species
UGGGCUUGAACUGGAGUGGAAGUUGGCAGAGAUGUCAAUGUCCUUUACCGGACUGCUCUUGACAUCCCGAGAACCCUAGCAGAGAUGCAUGGGGGUGCCGCAAGGAACUCGGUGACAGGUGCUGCAUGGCUGUCGUCAGCUCGUGUCGUGAGAUGUUGGGUUAAGUCCCGCAACGAGCGCAACCCUCGCCCUUAGUUGCCAGCAUUAAGUUGGGCACUCUAAGGGGACUGCCGGUGAUAAGCCGGAGGAAGGUGGGGAUGACGUGUAACCGAAUCU